rnacentral:misc_RNA from 1 species
AUAGAGCUGUCACUGUCAACCACAUAAAAAUGUCAAUUCCGUUCUGUGGUGUCGUAUUUGUGUGAUUAAAUGUAAUUUUAAAAUAAUUAAAAACUACUGACAAUAUAAUGUGUGACAAUGGCCUCAGUGAAAGUGGCUGUAAGGGUUCGCCCGUUCAAUCAAAGAGAAAAGGACAUGAGCGCGAAGCUGAUUGUCCAGAUGGAGGGCAAGAAAACUCGACUGCUCACAGUGAAAAACAGCAAAGAGCAAAAUGACGGUAGCCGUGAGAAAUACAAAGACUUCACGUUCGAUCACUCGUACUGGUCGUUCGACAGCGCCGACAGCCAGUAUGCUUCGCAGGAACAGGUGUUUGCAGACCUCGGGCUGGACGUGAUAGACAGCGCGUUCGAGGGCUACAACGCGUGCGUGUUCGCGUACGGACAGACCGGCAGCGGGAAGACCUUUACCAUGAUGGGCUCAAACGAGUGCCAAGGCCUCAUCCCUCGUAUAUGCAGGCAACUGUUCUCCCGAGUGGCAGCAGGGAAGGAAUCUGGUGCCUCGUAUCGCACGGAGGUCAGCUACCUGGAGAUAUACAACGAGAGGGUCAAGGAUCUGCUGGCGACUGACGCGGGACAUUCCCUCAGGGUGAGGGAGCAUCCGAAACUGGGACCGUACGUCCAGGACCUGUCCAAACAUCUGGUCUCGGACUAUGAUGACAUACAGGAGUGCAUGCACCGCGGCAACCUGCACCGCACCACAGCGUCGACGCAGAUGAACGACGUGUCGUCUCGCUCGCACGCCAUAUUCACCAUCACGUUCGUGCAGGCGAGCUACUUGCGCCACAACAACAUGCCCAGCGAGACCGUGUCGAAAGUGCACCUCGUCGAUCUGGCUGGCAGCGAGCGCGCGGACGCGACGGGCGCGACGGGGCAGCGGCUGGUGGAGGGCGCGCACAUCAACAAGUCGCUCGUCACGCUCGGCUCCGUCAUCUCCGCGCUCGCAGAGUCCAGCCAGCCCGUCGACCCUCGAACGCAAAAAGGCUCGAAGAAGAACGUGUUCAUACCGUACAGGGACUCGGUGCUGACGUGGCUGCUCAAGGACUCGCUCGGCGGCAACUCCAAGACCAUCAUGAUUGCAGCUAUUUCUCCAGCGGAUUGUAACUACGGCGAGACCUUAUCGACGCUCCGUUACGCGAACCGAGCCAAGAACAUCAUUAACAAGCCGACCAUCAACGAGGAUCCCAACGUGAAGCUCAUCAGGGAGCUGCGCGAGGAGAUCGAGAAGCUGCGCGCGCAGAUAUCUCACAAUACGGAUCCGGUGGAAAACGAGCCAGGCAUGUUGGCGACGUUGCAACGGAAAGAAGCCCAAGAGAAAGUGCUCACGGAGAAGUGGACGGAGAAGUGGCGCGAGACGCAGCAGAUCCUGCAGGAACAGAAGGCGCUCGGGCUGCGCAAGAGCGGCCUCGGCGUCGUGCUCGACUCCGACAUGCCGCACCUCGUGGGCAUCGACGACAACCUGCUCUCCACCGGCGUCACGCUCUACCACCUGAAGGAAGGCGAGACAGUGAUCGGCAGCGAGGAGCUGACUCCGACGCCGGAUAUAGUCCUGAGUGGUGCGGGCGUCCUGCCGCUGCACUGCAAGGUGACCCUGCAUGCGGGCGUGGCCACUGUGCACCCCUGCCAGGGCGCCCAGUGCUGGCUGAACACCGUGCUUAUAGACAAACCGGCUAAGCUGAGCCAAGGUUGCAUCCUUCUCCUCGGGCGCACGAACAUGUUCCGCUACAACGACCCGGCGGAGGCGGCCAAGCUGCGGCAGGAGGGCAGCGCCUCCGCCAUGAACCUGUCGCGACUGUCGCUGCUCUCCUGGUCCACCACCGACCUCGCCGCCAGCACCGAGAACCUCAACACCAGCCAGACUCUAUCUGAUUUGGAGAGUGAGAUUCGUUGCGAGCGGAUAGAGGCUCAGCGCGCGGAACUGGAGCGCGAGAGACAGCAGUUCCUUCUACAGCAGGAGGAGAGACAGCGGCGCUGGCACGCAGAGAGGGAAGAGUUACUGCAGGCGCAGAGGAAACUUGACGAGGAGCGUGAGGCGAUGGAGCGCGAGUACGCGGCGGCGUGCCGGCGCCUGUCGGGCGACUGGCGCGCGCUGGAGCGCGGCUGGACCAACCGCCGCCGCGCGCUGCGCUGUCGCCAGAGAGAACUCGCCGCGCGCACGCACCGCCUGCGGGCGCUCAGCGACACGCACCGCGGAUGCGCGGAGACGGAAGAGGGUCGCGUGGCGGAACUGCGCACGCAAGUGGACUCCAAAAAGUCGCAGAUCGAGGAGUACGCGAAGAACACCAUCGCGCAGUUGGUGGAGAGCGGCUGCAAGCUCGAGAGCUCGACGACAUCAAGUCCGGACAGCCCAGGGUCGGAGACCAGCACCGAGAGCCUGAUGCAUCUGUUGCGGCAGUGCGAGCCGGAGACCGCCACCGGCAUCAAGGAGACCGUCGACAGGCAUAAAAAGGAGUUAGUUGAGCUAGAAGAAGAGCUCCAGAGCCGAGUGAAGUCAGUAGCGUCACACCGCGUCAAGAUCGAACGGCUGCAGGCGGAGCUGGCGCUACUGGGCACGCAGGACCUGGGGCUCAGACAUGCGCUGGCUUCGGAUCUCAGCCCCUCUGCUGUUAGGGAGGGCGACGGCGAGGUGUCUCCCGUGGAGGGUGUGAAGCGCAGCAAGUCCGAGCUGGUGCUGCGCCGGACUCCGCGCGAGGACGUGCUCGACCCGCUCUCCGCCGACGAGAGGGAGGAGUACCGCAACAAGAGAAUGAAUCUGAGCCUAAGCCUGGACCCGCUGGAAUCCCCUAACACAGGCAACGCCGAAGACACCUUCCACACAGCCACAUCAGGGUCUCCCAAGUCGUUCCCGACCGAGGAGCCACCGUCACCGCCCACGCCGACCGACCAGCCGCUACCGCUGCCCGCGUUCAGACUGGGUCCGGUGCCUGACGACAGCGAUGAUAUGUCCAGCACUGAGGAUUAUCAUAAGCCGAGGGUGGUGGAAGGGCAGUCUUCCAGCUCGAUGGACCGGUCGCCUGAAGAGAGGCACCAGAGAGCCAAGUACCGACGGCGGAUAGCAGGCGAAGGCAAGUCGGGUCGGCGGCAGGUGACGGAGGCGGAAGCACUGCGCGCCAUGCAGCGGCUGUGCUCGCGCAUCGCCGCGCAGAAGAUGCUCGUCAUCUCCUCGCUCGAGAACGACUGCUCCAAGGAGGAGCUCAACCGACAGAUCGCGGUUCUCCAAGAGCUGCAAAAGAAAUACGUCCGGCUAGAGAUGGCGCUGCAGUACUCGUUCUUCGACAACCAGCCGAACAAGCGCACGAUGAUGGUCACUCCCAUCCAGGAGACGCCGUCGCUGACGCUGUCCGAGAGCGACAUGCAGGUCACCACCGAGGACAGCAACCACACCGAGAAUGGACAUGUCGUCGACCCGUUGUUGCAAAGGUUAAAAGAGCAAGAGAUAGAAGCGUCUGACAAUGUCUCCACGUCGAACGACGAGUUGUCGUCGGAGCACCCCGAGGCGUGGGACGAUCCGCUGCGGUCCAGGAACUCUCUGGAGAACUCCAGAAACCAUCUGGACGGCCCGCCGGGACUCAUCGAGGUACCUUUGCCGGAUCCUACGAUGUCACCAGGGUUAAUGCAUCCAAUAGAUUUCAACGAAGUAGUAAGCAUCCCGGGCUGGGUGACGCGCGGCGCGGGCGCGUCCACGCACCACGAGUACGAGGUGCGCAUCUGCCUCGGCGACCACUGCCGCUGGCUGCUCCUGCGCAGGUACCGGCGCUUCCGCGAUCUGUACCUCACCAUGCGCAGGACCUAUGGGCCUAAGGUGGCGUCGAUCCCGUUCCCGGCGCGCACGCUGUGGUCGUCGGAGGCGGUGGCGCGCGCGCGGCGGCCGGCGCUGGAGUCGUUCCUGCGGCGCCUGCUCACCGUGUGCUCGGCCGACCGCCGCUGUCCCUUCCACCGCGCGCCGCUCACCAAGGACACGCUCGUCGAGUUCUCGCCCUUCUUCAGAAAGGGCGUGUUCGAGAGCGGCAAGUGCGGCACGGGAUGAUGUCGGUGGGAGGUCGCCACGUGGCGCGCGGCGCGGGCGCUGCAGCGCUCGGCGCGGCGGCUGCUGCGCGCGCUGUGCUGCGCCGCGCUGCUGCUGUGCCGCUGUCUCGCGCUGCUGCUGCUGCUCCUCUACCUGUGCGCGAGGCGGCGCCGGUAACCACCGGCGACCGCACGCAACACCCCGCUACACCACAGGUACCGCGAGUACCCCACUCAUACAAACUUAGUACCUCAACACAAACAGACAAUCUCGAUAACUUAAAAGUCUCAAAGGAAUCCUUCAAAAUUUGGAACUAAACUAAACAGGUAUCCCGAGACUAUUUUAAGAGUACCUUUAAGAAUUCGAAUAGUCGAAUAACGACUAUCUGUUCAGAAACGAAGGUACUAGUACCCAACCAGGUACUCUCACAAAAGUAAGCACUACCUUACAGAUGAAAGAUCAAUAACCACAGAACGGUCUUGAAAAAAAGUCCUCCAGAAUCCUGAAAAAAGAAAUGGCUCGAAUAUUUCACAUCAAUGACAACCGAAGGUACUAGUACUCUAACAGCUACCUCAACUAGAGAAUUAACUCGAAGACCCUUAAAGAACACUACGGGUAACAUCUGGGCUCAAAUUUUUAUAUCAAAGGUUCUCAUCACCACUCAAAGCCAAGUUUGACGCAACGGCCGCUACUUAACAAUCUUGACCUGUAUCACCUUGUAAUAAGGUUAACAGUCGCAGUACAAGCUGGAGUUAAUCUUAAAUGUUGAUCGUAAGGCCGUAGAGUAUUUAUGUAGUUCUAUUGAGGUACCAAUAUGCCUACUUGUGUUGGACAAUAUUGUCUAUAUAGGUGUAAUAUAUGAAAGUAAUAUGACCGGUGAAAAAAAAAUUAUAGCUGAAACUUUUACUAAAAUCUGUUGAAGCAUGACUUGAUAUGUUAAUUUCUAUUGCCGAAGUAACUUCGCGGAGAAGUAUGUUAUGUAUUCUUUUAAAAAAUAUAUAUUUUUUUUUAAAACAGCAUUAUAAUAUGCUUCAGACGAAAUUACAAUAGUUUUAAAUUUUUUUCAAACCAUCUCAAAAUGUCAUGUUGAGUUUAAAUCUAGUCGGUCAUAUUACAACCGUUCAACUAUACACUGUAUAUCAUCAAGCUCAAGGGGUAUAUAGCGGGGUGGGCAGGGGUAUAGCAGCAAAGCGCGGGUAACACGGGUGCCUUUACUAGUUUAUUUACAUCGUUGGAUCGUCCUUAGUUACACCGACACGUCACACGAACCUUAACGAUCGUUACGCAUAUGACGCGGAGUGGUUGUCUUUGUGUGUCUAAAAUUUGGGUCUUUGGAAAGCACUGUAAAAAAAAUUAUCUAUAUACCAGUUCUUGAAAAUGGAAAUAAAAUUAUCUUUUUUUUUUCUAAUACUGGCCAAAAGACAUAGCCAAAGUUUUGGUAUAGACAAUAAUUGAAAAAAAUCGAAUGGAUUUGGAGUGUUUUUUUGUUAAUCUAAAUUAUAGACACACAAAGCAUAUCAGUCAUAUUAUAUAUCAUGACAUAGAUGGCUUUGAAGGUAUUGGUAUUUGGGAGGCAAAGGAAUAACGGCAGAAAAUAAUUAACCGUGUAUAUUUCAAAUCGGUUGACAUGUAAUAAUUAUAAAAAAAAUAUGCAUUGUAAUAUUUAAAGUAGUAAAAGACUAUUACAUUUUUUUUUAUGAAUAUUAAAUACCAGCCAGUACUCAAGCAUUUUUCUUACAGUUGGUUAAUUGUCAUAUUGUCUUUGCCCAAUACCUUCAAACAGCCGUAUCGUUAACAAAUACAUAGUAUUUAAUGUUAUUUUUAACGUAUUUUUUUCCUCUUCUCCACCCUAUAGGGUGCGUUUUAAAAUAUUUCGUUUUACGUUCAAAUAAAGUUACGAUGUAUGUCUGUAUAUUUUGUGCAAUGGUUAAUUUAAGGCUUGUAUUUAAGGGCUUCCCUUUGGUUUACGUGAUUAUUUGAGGACAUCCGGUUAUGUUUGGUCAUGUUGGAGUUUUAGGGGAUUAUUUGGCUCUAUGGAAAGAUGAUAACAUUCUUGUGAAUUUAAAAUAACAGGAAUACUUCGUUAUAUAUUAACGCAAUAGAAUUUUAAAUAAUACAUAGUAGGAUGAGAUAUAGAACUCAAGUAUCAAUGUUAUAGAUCUGUGUCAUAGACAAUUUUGCUAUGAUCUUCAUCAGAUCCCCUGAACAUUCAACUCUACAUCGCAUGAAGCACCCAAAGUGUGAAUCUAUAGUCUAUUUUUGCACGUGGCGAACUCUAUAAAAUCUCUUUAGUUAGAGAAAAAAAAAUGUUUUAUAGUUAGUAUCAAUUAAAAUAAUAAAUAAGUAAAUGUUAUUUAAACUAGUAAGAAUUCAUUAUUGAUGUGAAAUUGUCUGAAUAUGCCUUUACAGCGUUUUGGAAGUCUAAAUGUUUUUUUUUUUUUCUAUAUGAUUUUCAUUAUUUUUCAGAAAAUUUAUUCUAAAGUUUUAAAAACUUUAUUCAAAUUUUUAGUAUUUUUUUGUAAAUGAAUUGAAAGGAAUGGUAUAUUUUUUGUUUUUAUAAAAUCUUAAUAAUGUUGUGUUGUACAGGCAUAUUCAGAUAGUAUAAAUAAUAAAUAAUCUCUGCAUAUGAUAUGCGUUAAAACGACUCUUUCCGGUUGGAAUUACCGAUUAAAUAAUAAUAAGUCUUGUAUACAAUAUUGAUGUAAGUUAGGAAAAAAUAAUUGAUCACUUCCAAAAAUUACAAACUUUUAUUGGCAAUCACCAUUUUUAUAAUAUUUAAAAGCUUUACAGGCUGCUUGCAACCGGAAUAUUCCCGUUUUCCGGUAUAACCGGAAAGAGUUUUUAAUAAUAUGUGACUAAUCCGUGUACAAUAUUAACGCACUGUUUUUAUUUAUUUUUGCAAUUUAAUAUUUUUUCUAUAAUUUUUAUCACAAUUAACUUUAGGUUUGAUAAGUAUAUGUUUAGUAGAAAGUUUCUAAACAUCCAAAGAGAAGAUAUAUGGAUUGUGAAGUAUUCAAACUUGUUGCGGUAGCUUUGGUCAAAAAACAGUAUUUGUACAGACGAAAAAUAUAUUUGUUCUCUCCUAUACAAACUGUGCAAGAAAUUAAAUUAUUAUUUUUUUUUUAUAAAAAAUAGUUAAUAGUAAUUUUGCGGUGUAGAAAAAUUUAUUUAUAUAUAAAGUUUAAACACAUGGCAUUACAAGUUAUGUAAUUGACCGAGAAUUCGAAGUCGAAACAUAAAUUUUCAUCAAAAAUGUUGAUUGGUUUCUUAAAAAAAGGUGCUAAAUUCAUAAAAAUUCGAUGUAACUUAUUGCUAACAAAUGGAUUUAAGGCCUCUAAUUAUUUGUUUUUUUCUAAUAUUCUUAUUAAAAAUGGAGAAUAAAUUUGCAACGAAAAAAUUUGGAGCGGUUAAGGUCCCAAUUUAGUAAUAAAUGAAAGAGUACACAAUAAUUCGUGUAAUCCACGUGAAUUUUAACAAAACUAAUCUUAAGUUUAUCGGGAAGUGACAUUUCUUGCGAAAGGUAUUCUUUCGAAAAAUAUUUGAGAGUGAAAUUUAAUUCUGAUCAUAUAAAAUGGUUCUUUAGUGAUUUCUUAUGUGGACGCGAAUGUUAGACAUUAAAAUUAAACUAUUUUUCGAAUUUUAUCGCGGUGUUUAUAUUUUAAUUUACAGCUUUCGUGGUCACGGCGGAGUUUCCCCCGAAAUCCGAAAAAUAGUUUAAUUUGAAUGGUUCUGAUUUUUGCAAUAAUCUUUUUUUGUUUAUAUUUUGAUUUAUAAUUGUUUCUUAACAAUGUUUAAUAACGAUUACCUUCGACGGCAUCACUAGAGUUAAAAACUGCCUAAAAAAUUUAGGGACUUAUAAGGUAACGCCACGACUUAACCCCGAUACGCGACAAAAGACGGUGUGAGUUAACAUAGAAGUAAAAUCUAACACAACGGCCUCGCGGGUCGCAAACGAUAUCACAAAAGACAAAUAUAUUUUUAUAUGUGGAAAAGGUUGUGAGUAAUUUAGUUGUCUUUUCCCUUUGCCUGGAAAUGAGUUGAGAAUUUGACACUAAUUUGCUCUUGAAGUGAACAUGAUAUUUCUUUAGAUAAUAUCUGACGUGUUUGGGUUUUUUGUUUAUAACUUGUUGAUUUUAAUACGUUAUUUGUAUAUUUUGGAUUGAGAUUUGUUGUUUUUGACGGAUUGAAUAUUUUCUUUGCUUGAUAGUGAUAUUUCGGCCACAGUCACAAAUCAAUAUAGAAUAUUAUUUUAAUUCUGACAGAUUUGCUGUGAGAUAAGUACUUGAUCACAGCUUCAGACAAGCUAGCUUUCUUUAUAAAUUAGCAUAUCAAAGCCAAUAAUAAAAGAAAUAAACAUAAAACAUGACCGAUAGAAUGCAUAUUUCUUUGAAAUUAGAAUACAGCUAGAAAAGUUAUCACUUAAAUCAAUCUAUUUUAUAAUCAAACAAAUACAGGGUGUGUUAACUGUGUGACGUGAAGAGAUUUCUAUUUUUCAUAUUUCUUAACAGUAGUUCUGAUUCAAGAAUGCUUCCCUGGCUGCUUAUUUUCUAGCUGACGCGACGGCACUGCCUCAAUGAGCUUUCCAAAUCACCGAAAGCCAUAACGCAUGCGUGCUGGCUCGCUCACGGCUUGUGACAUGCUGUAUAUCAAUAAAACAUAUCGAUAUAUGUGCUAAUACCAAUUGUAUACAUAUACUUGUAAUCGGAUGUUCGUAUUGUGAGACAAAAAGGGACUGGAUUAGUGAUAAAAAUAUUGCUAUUUCAUUUUCAUGUAUUAUAAGUUGAUUUCACUUGAUGCGCUAUGGAAUACUGAAAAAACAAAAAAAUUGAUAUUUGAAAUGGCUGCUAUAGAAACGAUGGUAAUGUAACUUUGAAGUGAAUGGAAUGUCGUCCCUGAAUCUAUAUUAUUGAUAACCGCCAACGCUUUGUAUGAGUGUUUGACACCUGUGUGUGUCAAUUAUGUCAAACGGAUAUGUAUGUGUUCGUAACGUCUCGCAUUGUCUAUUUAAAUCGGCACUAAAUGUAUUUUAUAUUGAGAUAGCUAUAUUGAUUUAUUGUACUCAAUUUUCCGGUUGGUAAAAAAAACGGAAUUUCCCGGAAAAUUGGUAGCAUUAAAUAUAUUAUAAUAAAAAUUAAAUUCAAUAUUUCUCAAUAGAGAUAAGACUUAUAGAAAAUUUAUGAUUAUAAAAAAAUGUAUUUACAUAAACUUCCCCAUGAAAUACGGCCUUGUAGAAUCCAUACUAUAUUCAUGUAUGUAUAGGGAUUUGGUGUUAGAAGAGUACAGAUGUAUUGCCUCGCGUGAGACGAAGAGAUAUAUGCACGUUUGGUGAUUUAAAAAUGUAUUUUUAGUACAAAUAAACGUGGAAAGUUAGGGAGUGUAGCUGUUUUAUCGACAAUAUAACCCGACCAAUGUAGAUAGCACCUGGAGAUAUGAGAUAUUAGUAUGUUUAGGUAUUUCUGUCUUUAUGAAGUGUUACUAUAUUGCAUGUAUUUAUAGUGUAUGUGAGGAAAUAUUUCUGGUUGUAAUGAUUGAGUGUAAAAUUUGAUUUUCGUUUGUUAUUAAUUUUAUUAUUACUCUUUGGAAUUAAUUAAAGUAAUAAAUAUUCUUAUGACUUUAAGGGUUAAUUAUUCAUUUAUAUUUGUUUAUAUUUUAUAGUCCUAAACCAUUUUCCAAACUAAAAUUAUUUAUACUUGAUUUAUUUCUUCACAUCACGUCUUCGCAGUUACACCAAAUUCUCUAAUUUAUAAUAAGUAUAAGUAAUUUCUGAUCAAAUUGCAGAUGUAGUGAUCAAUGACGUCACAUUGGGCCUAUUUUUACAUUUGUCAAUUUAGAACGAAUGAAACACGACAUUUUGUUUCUAAUGUACCGUCAUAUGAAACUUAAUUUGAAAUAGCAAGUUCUCUUAGCAAUAUAUUGCGCAGGAAUUUCCAGAGGCGUUUACACUAGUGGCAAUAUUUCAAUUAUUCUAUGCACAUAAAUCUUCUCGAAAGUCCGGCAGACUUCAAAUUAUGCAGUAGUCAGCAUGCCGUAACUGUUACACAGUACAAAUUCGCCUCGAGGAAAAUAACUUUUGCGAGUUUGUGUUUGCAAUGUUGCUAAAAAAUGUUCCAUCGUUGCUCAAUUUGCUCGGCUUCUAUUUAUAUUAACGCGUGUCAAUUUUUACCGAACAGAUGGCGUAAUAUGAUUGAUGUAUAGCCGCUAUUUGACAUGGUCGUAGUUCCGGGUCACUGGUUAUAUCAAAAACGUAAUUUAGGAAUGUAAAGACUAUGUAUUAAUAUUUACCAUUCCACAUUCAGGGUACGUAAAAAAAUCUCAACAUCAAUGCGCUUAUUUUUCAAUAAAUCUAUCGAUCAGUCUUUAUCGAAAUUGACUGAACAAAAGUUUUUUUCCGAAAGGUUUCUUUUUUCGCUUCUUUGGUAUAAAUCAAAAUGUCGUGUUUCAUGAAGGUCUGAACCUAAAAUAAUUUAUAAAAUUCAUAUUGCUACUGUAAGGUAUUCAGCUUAUUUAAGCUAUUAUUACGAAUUUAUAAAGUGGUGACUUGUUCUCGAACACUUGUAAGACACCAGUAAUAUAAUAAAUGAAAAUGAACGCAGCGCAAAACCGCUCGUUGUUUUUGUUUCUAAAUAGACCAAAAUGUUUUCCGAAGCAAAAUGGCUAAGUAAAUAUUUUGUCUAAUUAUUGACGCGAAAGUCUGUUUUAAACUGAUAAAAGCUAUAAAAAUGUAAAAUUCAAAGUAAUUUAUAUUUUUGCUUCUCAUUUUACUUCAUGGUCGAAUAAAAUGGUUGAAUUUGCGAGUGACAUUGCCUCUAAUGGCAGCAAAGUGUUGAUGGUUUUGGACUCCACUAUAUUUUUAGUCCAGUAUAAUAUGAAAUAAAUACAAAUGUCCUUGUCAAGUUCUAUUGAGAAUAAGCCACCACUAUACCUGUUGCAAAUGUGAGUAUAUUUGAAUGAUUUUUCCAAUUGAGAGAAUUAAAAUAAUAAAUAGAAAAAAAAAAUGUUAACCAGCAUAAUGUAUGUAACAAAGAGUAAUUUUGUUAAGGAGAACAUUAAAAUGCGGAAUGUUUUA